AUAUGUUUAUAUAACUGUCUGAACCUCUGAAAUAUAUCUUGUUAUGGUAUUUAUGUCUCAUAGAUAAUAUAUGAUACUGCCAUCCAGUGGAUAGGGGAGGUAAAGCCAAGCUGAAAGCAAUGCAGCCUGUUUACCAGGAGAGUGCCAAGAACCCCAAAAAGGGGUUACAUUAGUCUACUACUAAACAUUUCUUAAGUUUGCUUUUAAGGGUCAGGGAUAUCAGUAUAAGCCCUGCUGAAGAAUCCUGCAUUGCUGGUCACCUGUAUAAGGGAUGUUUUGCCCGCUGGGACCAGCAUGGGAGGAGGCUGGUUGCUGGUUUGUGGGAUCUCAUCGUGGGAGGCAGGUGUGCUGGUGGACGAGAAUAAGACAAGUGCCCUACUCACACUCAACCCCACGAAACCAUGCUGGUGAACCAGCUUCAAGAGCUUCAUAUUGUGUGAAAACAGCAUAGAUAUGUUGGUCCACCAGCUAGACCAGCAUUACACCAGCACAAACCAGGAGGGUCCUUGUUCUUAGACGUGUCACUCGGUUGGGGCUUUAGGGUCAAAUGGGAAAAGAGCAAGCUUUCCCCAGUGCUAAGCUUUUCUGUUCUCAGGAUGGAGUUGGACUCAGUCGCCAUGCAGCACAUCAGAAGAGCACACAAUCAGUGCUAAGUCACUCAGGGGAAGAACAGCGCUCCCACUGAAACAAUUUCAGGGCAUACUGCAUCCUCUGCAGUAGUAACAUUAGGCUGAUGCAUAUGAGACUGCUUCAGCACUGGCUUCAGACUGAGAUGGUCAUGGCGCUGUGGCAUGCAUCACAUCUGUCACCAUAUGUUCAGCCCUCUGAAAGACCUUGCAUUUAUACAGGCAGAGAACACUUUGAGCAAGAAUCCAAGCAUGUUGUUGUCACAAGAGGCAUGUCCAAGACAAGGCAGGGUGUCAUAUGCAAAGGGGCACACAGGCCUGGGCUCCUGGACCGGACUUCAGCUGUGCUGGCGUACCAAUUGCCUUAAAUUGCUACAGUAUUGCUGGCCCUGCUGAGGUUUUCAUUGAUCCAGGGCAAGUACGAAGAAGUUGGAGGGACAGCUGUCCCCCUGGACCUUGAAGAAUAAAGUUGCUAUCAUUACCCGCAUACCCUGAAAGUGACCUCUGCUGAAUUUAUCUGCUUACUUACCCUUAAACAUACCCGGAUAUAUCACACAACCUGCUUUCUGGAAUAUACCCCCCCCCCCAGAUCACAACC
ensembl:lncRNA